CACGCUGUAAACGAUGAAUACUAGGUGUGGGAGGACUGACCCCUUCCGUGCCGCAGUUAACACAAUAAGUAUUCCACCUGGGGAGUACGAUCGCAAGAUUGAAACUCAAAGGAAUUGACGGGGGCCCGCACAAGCAGUGGAUUAUGUGGUUUAAUUCGACGCAACGCGAAGAACCUUACCGGGAUUUGACAUCCUACUAACGAAGCAGAGAUGCAUUAGGUGCCCUUCGGGGAAAGUAGAGACAGGUGG
rnacentral:rRNA from 1 species